rnacentral:rRNA from 1 species
UACGGGGGGGGGCAAGCGUUGUUCGGAAUUACUGGGCGUAAAGGGCUCGUAGGUGGCCAACUAAGUCAGACGUGAAAUCCCCAGGCUCAACUUGGGAACUGCGUCUGAUACUGGAUGGCUUGAAUUCGGGAGAGGGAUGCAGAAUUCCAGGUGUAGCGGUGAAAUGCGUAGAUAUCAAGUGGAACACCAGUGGCGAAGGCGAGUCUCUGGACAUUUCCUGACGCUGAGGCACGAAAGCCAGGGGAGCAAACGGG